CAUUAAGCGGCUAAAAAGCGCGUUAGAGAUCAUGAAGCGAACGGAUAUUUCCAGAACGCGUAAAUGAAAGCACACUUGCGAACGAAGCAACUUUGAUAUAUAGCACCCAAACCGAACUGUUCCCAGCGGAUCAGUAAGAACCAGGACGAACAGGAGGACGAGGCGGACGAGGAGGAGGCGGACGAGGCCGACGGGCCAGAGACGGCAGCGAAACCGCCGCCGCGCCAGCGGGCACAGCGGUUAUGGAACCACAUGGCGGAGUGCCGCCGGACAGGGAUCGGCAGCUGGUGCUCCGUAAUCAGUCGGCGGCCAUCGUGCCCGUGGUCGUAUCUAUACCGCCCGCGGGACCGGCUGCAACCACGCCCACCCCGCAGCCAGCGGCACAUGCCCAAUUGUCGCUGGUGCCCAGCAAGCCAACUAGUCUGAGUCUUCAGCCUCAUGUCGUGCUCCAGGCCAUGCAACAAUUGUCGCCGUCGGCGGGCGGCAACAACAAUGCCAACAGCGCAGUCGCCACCGCCACCGCCACCAGCAGCAGCAGCGGGAAUGCGAACAGCGGCAGCAGUCCCGCCCUAGCCUCCACCGCCACCGCCAUAUCGGCCACAACGCAGGCAGCCACCGCCUUCAGCGGCAGCUCGGUGGGUCACCACCACCUGCAGCACCACCACCAGCACACGCAUCCGCAUGCCCCACAGCAGUCGCAGUCACAGUCCCAGUCACUGACACAGCCACAAACACAGCCACUGCACCAGCUCCAGCAACCGCAUCCGGCCAGUGCGUCGAGUACAGCGCCACAAAGCCACCAUCACGGCUCCAUAUCGGUCACUGGGUCAGGUGGACUACUCGGCUCCAGCGGCGGCAGUGGCAACCAACAGCAGGCCAUCGAGAAGCUGUCACGACCCAUGGCUUUCGAUAAGAUGGAAAUGCUGGUGCGGGAGAUGCAGGAUCAGGAACAUGGCGUGCCUGUGCGCCAGCAGAAGAUGUUUCUGACUUCCAUACCAUAUGCGUUUAUGGGAUACGAUCUAAUUGAAUGGCUGAUGGAUCGCCUGCAGAUUGAGGAGUCGGAGGCCCUGAACAUUGCCAAUCAACUGUGUCUGCACGGCUACUUCUUUCCGGUCAACGACUCAAAGACGCUGACCGUUAAGGACGACUCGUCGCUGUAUCGAUUCCAAACGCCCUACUACUGGCCCUGGCAGCACAAGGCGCCGGACAACGUGGAGUACGCCAUCUAUUUGGCCAAGCGAUCGCUGCGCAACAAGCAGCGCCAUGCACUGGAGGACUACGAGGCGGAGGCACUGGCCUCCCUGCACAAGAACCUGAAGGGCAAGUGGGACUUCAUCUCGAUGCAGGCCGAGGAGCAGGUGCGGCUGGCCAAGGAGCGCAAGAAAGGUGACAAGAUCGUGGGAGACUCGCAGGAACGUGCUUACUGGAGAGUUCACCGUCCACCACCUGGCCAGUUCACUCCGUUGGAGCCCUGUCCAGUGCCUUCGCGCGAUCGUCAGGGCCUCAAGCCCAAUAAAAAAAAGACUGUCGAUGACAUGCAGCGCGACGUUGACUACUUGGGCAAGUCGCUCAAUCGGACGCGGAUGAAGAUGUCGCAGGCCUGCGAGUCGCUCGUUUGCUACUCGGAGACAUUCUCCGAAUACGAUUUCUUUCUGCAGCCGGCACUGCCCUCCAAUCCGUGGGUCACCGAGGAUAUUGCCUUCUGGCAGCUGAACAACACCUUUGUGGACAUUCCCACAGAGAAGCGCGUCAAGCGCUGGGCCAUCUCCAUCGAGGAGCUCGUCUCCGAUCCCACUGGUCUGCAGGAGUUCACCGGCUUCCUGGAGAAGGAGUACUCCCACGAGAACAUCCGCUUCUGGAUAGCAGUCAAUCGAUUGCGCCGUUCCGCCCACUCCCAAGUGGCGCGAAAGGUCAACGAAAUCUACGAGGAGUUCUUGAAGCCCGGCGCACCUUGCGAGAUUAAUAUUGACGGAAAGACCAUGGAGAGCGUGCUCAAGGGCCUGAAGAAUCCAUCGCGGUUCACGUUUGACUCGGCAUCGGAGCACAUAUACAUGCUGCUGCUGAAGAAGGAUUGCUACCCGAGAUUCAUACGGUCGGAGCACUACAAACGCCUGCUGGACACCGGCAUUCAGCCGUCGUACAAGAAGCGCUUUUUCAACUUUGGCGGCGUGAGCGGUGCCAAGAAGAAAAUGACAGCCGCGCUGAGUAGCCAGCCGAAUCUGGGGGAUGCGGCCAAAGGACCCGGCGGCACAUCCGCCGGCAGCUCCAUGAUGCAGGCUCCGCCGCCCGGAAAUCUCGCCCGUCGUCGUGGCAGCGAUCGCAGUCUGACGGGCUCCGCCCACGAGCUGGCCGUGAUCGGUGUGAACAAGGAUGCCGGCUCCAAGGUACCGCACUCUCAUUCCCAGAGUAAUCUCAGCGAAAUCCCCUUCAGUAGCGAUUCAAUUUAUCGAGGCGAUAUGCCACAGCGCCACAUGGCGAUCAUGGAUAUUGGGAUAUAUGCGGCAUACGGGAAUCGCGAAAGUAGUUUGCAGGCACUUCCAGAAACGCCAAAGACGAAGACCACCGUCCUCGACGCCACGGAGUCCACAUCGUCGUCCACAGCUCUGGUUGUGGCGGCCAGCAGUGCCGUCUGCCCGUGGGAUGAGCCAGCCGAACCAGUUCCGCCGCCGCCGGCGCAAGUGAAGCUAUCCGUGUGUCCCUGGGAACUGGAUAGUGCCACAGAGCCGCCGGCAGCGGCUCCAGUAGUGGGAGGUGGAGCGUCGAAGAUCCUGAGUUCCACCGGGCAACCACUGCGAUUGAAUAGCACUUCCUCGGACAACAGCGAUGUGAAUGAUCGAAUGCAGCGCAAUUUGGGCAUUCGCCAUCAGAACACCGUGGACAGCGGCGAAGCAGGCAUAAAGCGUCUGAUUCCCAACAUUCCGGAGCAGCGUCGGGCAUCGGUCUCAUUUACACCAAGCCCCACUCCGGAUUUCCAGCUAGGACGCACUGCAACGACGACCUCCUCGCCCACUGUGGCGCCCAGCAGCUCCACUCCGCUGCAGGCUCGCAGUGCUGUGUACGGCAGUGGCCAAGGCAUCGCCAAAGAUCCACCAUCUGGCUCGGAUGUCGAUGCGGAAUUGGAGGAGGAACUUAACAAAAUAUCCCUGGGCGAGUCCUCAACAUCGGAACCGCCGCUUCUAGUGGUACCCACCCCCGAACAGACCCCGCCGCCCAUAACCAAGAUCACGCCGGCACCGGGAGAAUGCGAGAAUCAGGCGGAUCAGGUGGUCGAUUCGACCGAGAUCCCGGAAAGCUCCUGCUCAACCCAAGCCAACCAGCUCAGCGAGGCCCCAGCGACUGUGACCACGGUUAAGGAGGUCCAAAUCGAACUGAUCGAGCAGAGCAGUGGUCUCCACACACAGCCAGGUAGUCCGCCCACCAUUAAGGUCCUGGUGCUAGAAGCAAGUGCGCCCGUGUCCGCUGAGAUCGCAGCAGCAGAACCGGGCGAGGAUCAGGCACAGACAGCAACCACCGCCACCAUCACCACCGAGGAUCAAGCAGAGCGGGCGGACGACACAGAAAAGGUCGCUGACUUAGAGCAGACGGUUCUGGACGAGCUUUCACCAACCACCGACGAGUACCAGGAGGGACUGCAGUUUGGCGAUGCCAAGGAUGCAGUGGACGACUUUGACAGCAUAGACGUUGGCUAUAUACCGCCAGCACCCACCCCGGCGCCCUCAAUGGCGCCCCUGGCCGAACUGGACGUGGACACCGUGGACGACGAGCCCUGCGAGCCGUGCGACCCGCCCGCUCCUCCUCCUCCUGUUCCGCCCAGCAGCAGCAGCAGCAGGGAAUUGGUGAUGGCCUCCGGCUCGGCCUCGGCCUCGGUCACGGCCACGCCCACAUUCAGCAACGAGGAGGCGCGCAAGCGGCGCAAGAAGCGAAACCCGGAGGGCAAGAAACUUAGCUCGCAGGACGAAAAGGACAAGGAGGCGCGCGAAAGGGCCGGCGGCAGCAGCAUGGAUGCAACUGACCACAAUGCGGUGUGUCCAUGGGAAGACGAGAACGUCAGCACCAACGACGGCACCUUCGUGAAGACAUAUGCCACACUGGGAUACUUAUGAAUAAAGCCCAAUCUGUUCAAGACGGUGGUCAACAAGUUGCUGAAUAGGAAGCCAUUGAAGAAGUAGGGCCAGGCCUGGGUAGCUAAGUUUAUUAUACGGAGUAUCUAUUAUAAUACGUACAUGCAAACAUACAUAUUAUGUAAAUA
rnacentral:misc_RNA from 1 species